rnacentral:rRNA from 1 species
UUAUUUGAGAGUUUGAUCCUGGCUCAGGACGAACGCUGGCGGCGUGCCUAAUACAUGCAAGUUGAGCGCUGAAGGUUGGUACUUGUACCGACUGGAUGAGCAGCGAACGGGUGAGUAACGCGUGGGGAAUCUGCCUUUGAGCGGGGGACAACAUUUGGAAACGAAUGCUAAUACCGCAUAAAAACUUUAAACACAAGUUUUAAGUUUGAAAGAUGCAAUUGCAUCACUCAAAGAUGAUCCCGCGUUGUAUUAGCUAGUUGGUGAGGUAAAGGCUCACCAAGGCGAUGAUACAUAGCCGACCUGAGAGGGUGAUCGGCCACAUUGGG